AGAGUUUGAUCAUGGCUCAGAUUGAACGCUGGCGGAAUGCUUUACACAUGCAAGUCGAACGGCAGCAUAGGUGCUUGCACCUGAUGGCGAGUGGCGAACGGGUGAGUAAUACAUCGGAACGUGCCCAGUCGUGGGGGAUAACGUAGCGAAAGUUACGCUAAUACCGCAUACGAUCUACGGAUGAAAGCGGGGGACCGUAAGGCCUCGCGCGAUUGGAGCGGCCGAUGUUAGAUUAGGUAGUUGGUGGGGUAAAGGCUCACCAAGCCGACGAUCUAUAGCUGGUCUGAGAGGAUGAUCAGCCACACUGGGACUGAGACACGGCCCAGACUCCUACGGGAGGCAGCAGUGGGGAAUUUUGGACAAUGGGCGCAAGCCUGAUCCAGCCAUUCCGCGUGCAGGACGAAGGCCUUCGGGUUGUAAACUGCUUUUGUACAGAACGAAAAGCUCUGGGUUAAUACCCUGGGGUCAUGACGGUACUGUAAGAAUAAGCACCGGCUAACUACGUGACGGCAGCCGCGGUAAU
rnacentral:rRNA from 1 species